rnacentral:tRNA from 1 species
UCGGAGUAUGGCGCAGCCUGGUAGCGCAUCUGGUUUGGGACCAGAGGGUCGUAGGUUCGAAUCCUACUGCUCCGACCAU